GCGGGAGUAUGCUUUAAGAGGUUGUAUCUUGUAUGUACUUGUGGAGAGUAGAUAUGUAGGCUUGAUCAGCUGUAUUAUAGAUUAUGUAGUGCUUGUGUUGUAUGUUGUAGAGGGCUGUGCCCCUCAUUGGUUCUGUCCUAAGAAACGCCCAAUGAAUCAGACACUUUGUAGCAGUAGUGUGUUUGACAUGUGGAGAAGAAACGAAAAUGACCUCUUGUGUUUUGAUGUAAA
rnacentral:misc_RNA from 1 species